rnacentral:rRNA from 1 species
UACAGAGGUCUCAAGCGUUGUUCGGAUUCAUUGGGCGUAAAGGGUGUGUAGGUGGCGCCGUAAGUCGGGUGUGAAAUUUCGGAGCUUAACUCCGAAACUGCAUUCGAUACUGCGGUGCUUGAGGACUGGAGAGGAGACUGGAAUUCAUGGUGUAGCAGUGAAAUGCGUAGAUAUCGGGAGGAACACCAGUGGCGAAGGCGGCGAUCUGGGAAGAUACUGACGCUGAGGUGCGAAAGCGUGGGGAGCAAACAGG